UACAGAGGUCUCAAGCGUUGUUCGGAUUCAUUGGGCGUAAAGGGUGCGUAGGCGGCGCGGUAAGUCGGGUGUGAAAUCUCGGAGCUUAACUCCGAAACUGCAUUCGAUACUGCCGUGCUUGAGGACUGGAGAGGAGACUGGAAUUUACGGUGUAGCGGUGAAAUGCUUAGAUAUGACAUAGAACACCGAUAGCGAAGGCAGCUUGCUACACAAUUAUUGACACUGAGGCACGAAAGCGUGGGGAUCAAACAGG
rnacentral:rRNA from 1 species